rnacentral:rRNA from 1 species
GAUGAACGCUGGCGGUAUGCCUAACACAUGCAAGUCGUACGAGGGUUUUUAACUCUAGUGGCGGACGGGUGAGUAACACGUGAGAAUUUGCCUUUAGGAGGGGAUAACAAUCGGAAACGAAUGCUAAUACCCCAUAUGCUUUUGAGUGAAAUGGAUUUAUCCGCCUAAAGAGAAGCUCGCGGCUGAUUAGCUAGUUGGUGGGGUAAAGGCCUACCAAGGCGACGAUCCAUAGCUGGUCUGAGAGGAUGAUCAGCCACACUGGGACUGAGACACGGCCCAGACUCCUACGGGAGGCAGCAGUGGGGAAUAUUGGACAAUGGGCGAAAGCCUGAUCCAGCAAUGCCGCGUGAGUGAUGAAGGCCUUAGGGUUGUAAAGCUCUUUUACCCGAGAUGAUAAUGACAGUAUCGGGAGAAUAAGCUCCGGCUAACUCCGUG